ACAGCAGCAGCCACGGGAAUACAGAGGGUGCGAGCGUUAAUCGGAUUUACUGGGCGUAAAGCGUGCGUAGGCGGCUUCUUAAGUCGGAUGUGAAAUCCCUGAGCUUAACUUAGGAAUUGCAUUCGAUACUGGGAAGCUAGAGUAUGGAAGAGGAUGGUAGAAUUCCAGGUGUAGCGGUGAAAUGCGUAGAGAUCUGGAGGAAUACCGAUGGCGAAGGCAGCCAUCUGGCCUAAUACUGAAGCUGAGGUACGAAAGCAUGGGGAGCAAACAGGAUUAGAUACCCCGGUAGUCCCUGUCUCUUAUAC
rnacentral:rRNA from 1 species